rnacentral:rRNA from 1 species
UAGGGAAUCUUCCACAAUGGACGCAAGUCUGAUGGAGCAACGCCGCGUGAGUGAAGAAGGUUUUCGGAUCGUAAAGCUCUGUUGUUGGUGAAGAAGGAUAGAGGCAGUAACUGGUCUUUAUUUGACGGUAAUCAACCAGAAAGUCACGGCUAACUACGUGCCAGCAGCCGCGGUAAUACGUAGGUGGCAAGCGUUGUCCGGAUUUAUUGGGCGUAAAGCGAGCGCAGGCGGAAUGAUAAGUCUGAUGUGAAAGCCCACGGCUCAACCGUGGAACUGCAUCGGAAACUGUCAUUCUUGAGUGCAGAAGAGGAGAGUGGAACUCCAUGUGUAGCGGUGGAAUGCGUAGAUAUAUGGAAGAACACCAGUGGCGAAGGCGGCUCUCUGGUCUGCAACUGACGCU